AUUCUGUCCUGAAAUGUUCUUGGUUACCUCGUGUGUCCUCCAUGGUUAGUCAGUUACUUUUCAUUUAGAAUUGUAUUAUAUUAACUCUUCUAUGGAGCUGUUUUGCUAGGCACCAUUUUAGAAAAGCAUGGCGUGUAAUCCCUUAACAGAAAUGCAUGUGUGGAUGCAGUUCUUCGUCUUUUUAUUAAAAAUUGUUCUUCCAAACAUGGAGUGUGUAUUGUCUUCAGAUCUUCAUUUUAGGUGUGCUUGUUUCUUAAGGAAUGAAUUCCCCAGGUUUUCGGUAACUAUUCAUAAUAUUUUUAUAUCAGCUCUUUUUACGAACAUACCAGAUUAAUUUUGCAGCAAUGGCAUCCAGUAAUAUUAUAAUGAAAAAUAAGAUUGCAUUUUAUCCCUGAGAAUUCUCGUCAAGCAUUAACUUUUUGCUACAUGAGGGGAAAAUCUAUUAAAGUCACACCAUCUUUGUCUUCUUAAGCCUUAGUUUCCCCAAGUGCUUAGUGAGAAAUAACAUAAAAGGCCCCCUUAGUGCUGUGUAGACUAAUGACAAAAAUUAUUGGAUUAAUGUUUGGAAAGUGUUUCAGAAUUCUCUCAAGAAAGCUAUUAUGUAAGUAGCAAGUACUAUUAUUAUUUUGCUAUUUCAGCUUCCUUAUUUUUCAUCUCUCAAAGUCAUUUGGGUCAUUUACUAUGGAAUUUUCUGAUUCCUUGACAGUUUUUAAUGGCUCUUUGGAGAGCCUUUUGAGGGCUGUUUAAUCCCUUUGUUGAUGAUCCAUCUGCUUGUGGAGUUCAUGCUUUUUUCACAACACAUUAAUAUUCAGGAUUUAAAAAAAAUGGUUGUAGCUAUUUUGUACCUAGAUGAAAUUGCUUAUCUUUAGGAGAAGAAAUUUAUGAUCUUGGUUUUCAAAUUGGAUUUUUUAUUUUCUGUAGACUUACUUUUUUUUUUUUUUUUUUUUUUGGUGGGUAGGUGGAAAUGGAGCCUGGCAAUGCCAAUUAUUAAUCACAGUAUUUGGAAGAAAUAUACUUAGAGCAUGAACCCCCAAAUCAUUCUCUGAAGUCACCCCGAUGCCUUCUUCCUGUAGUAUGCCAGUCUUUAUGCUCUCCAGAUCGGAAUCACGAAUUAACUGUGCCAUCUCCAUGGGCUUGAAUCACGUGCUUUGAAUUCUCACACAUAGAUUAUAGCAAUUUAUGUUUUCUCACAAUUGAGGAAAAGAAAGGAACAGCAUAUUUUCUGGCUUCUUUAUCCUGUAAGCUCUUACAAAGAGGAAGUAGAACCAGAGGCUGAUUUCUUCCAGAGAAAUAAAAGUUUCAGCGUGGGGGAAAAAAGAAAAAAGAUAAAACUGAUAAUUAGGAUCAUACUGCUGCUUAGUGACAAAAUUUUACAUAUAUAAAUAUAAAUAUAUAUGUAUAUAAUAGAAAUUUAUUCAGGGGUUUAUAUGUACAUAUAACUCCAGUAAAUCUCAUUCCAAGUAGACUUAAUAUACAGAAGUUGUACCUUCACAGUCGUUACAUAUAGAAAGGCAAAUUAGUCAAGCUCAACUUUUAUUCUUCCCGUAGUUUUCUGAAAAUAAUUGUUUUCCUGACUGGACAGUAUUAAGUGAUUCUUUUUUUAAAACAAGAAUAGUCCUAACUUCUUGUUCUGAUAAUAGAAAUUGAAAGUACAUACUUAGACAUCUUCAUACCUUUACUGUAUUAACUAUAUUUUAGGGUCAGUAAACAGCUCUAGCUGAUGAGCAUUAUUUUAUUUUCUGCAGAAGAGUGCCAGCUAAUGAAUGUGGAAAGAAUGAGAAAAUCAUAAACUUGCAUCUCCCAAUGAAAUAAUUGCUUGAGACAGUGAUCUUCAAUGGAAUAGACAAAUUAGGUGAAACGUUGUUGGGAACUUUACAGUGAGAGUUGUGUUGUCACCACCUGAACCACUCAUUAGCCAAGUGUCACUCAUAUGGAGGACCAGCCAGUGUGUGCUCCUGAGGGAGCAUCACUGAUGCGUUCUUGCCACACAAACAAGUUGACUGUCCAUUUAAUCAAGCCUCCAGAGCCAGCUUCCAUUUAUGAGAGAAGGGGAGAGUAACAAUAGCAGUAACAUCAGAAAGAAGGAUAGAAAAAUGCAACAUGUGAGCCAUUGUACAGGGUAAAUAACCAAGUUUCUGUAAUAAAUCAAUGAUGUGGGGGACAACAGGUAUGAGGGAGAAGGAACUGUUCUAUUUUAAAACAACUAAAUCUUGUUUGAAUCAUGAUUCAGAUAAACUGAUGCUGAGAAGGACAUUUUUUGAGGCACUCAGGGAAAAUUAGUUGUGGAAUUAUGUACAUUGAGUAAUGACCGUAAAUUAUCAUUUUAUGAGGUGUGAUAAUGGUAUCAUAAUUGUUAAUGAAAUAUAUUUUUAAAAGAUAUAAACUGAAAUAUAGGAGUGAAAUGAAAGGAGUUCUAGGAUUUAAAAUAAUUCAGCAAAGAAUUUAAAAAACCCAGUGCUAUCAAAUGGAGCAAAAUCUUGAGGGUUACAUGGUGACUCAUUAUACUUUGAUCUUCUGUGUAUGUUUGAAAUGCUUUAAGAUAAAAUAAUUUUUGGAGUUCCCGUCGUGGCUCAGAGGAAACAAAUCCGACUAGGAACCGUGAGGUUGCAGGUUCAAUCCCUGGCCUUGCUCAGUGGAUUAAGGAUCCGGCAUUGCCAUGAGCUGUGGUGUAGGUUUCAGACGUGGCUUGGAUCCUGUGUUGCUGUGGCUCUGGUGUAGGCCAGCAGCAAUAGCUCUGAU
rnacentral:lncRNA from 1 species